ACUCAAUAUGAUGAAGGUGUUCUUAAUGUUUGGUGCACUCACUGUAAAUUAAAAGUGUAUAUCUGCUCACUGUUUUGUUGCUCCCAGAGAGAAGUGGGUAGACCAGGUAGAGGACAGAGAGACCAGGUAGAGGACAGAGAGAUGUGGGUAGACCAGGUAGAGGACAGAGAGACCAGGUAGAGGACAGAGAGAUGUGGAUAGACCAGGUAGAGGACAGAGAGAUGUGGAUAGACCAGGUAGAGGAGCAGUCCAUCUAGUCAGUGGAACAGAACAGAGCCAUGAAUCAGGUUCAGAGAGAUGUGGAUAGACCAGGUAGAGGACAGAGAGAUGUGGAUAGACCAGGUAGAGGACAGAGAGAUGUGGAUAGACCAGGUAGAGGAGCAGUCCAUCUAGUAAUUAGAACAGAACAGAGCCAUGAAUCAGGUUCAGAGAGAUGUGGAUAGACCAGGUAGAGGACAGAGAGAUGUGGAUAGACCAGGUAGAGGAGCAGUCCAUCUAGUCAGUGGAACAGAACAGAGCCAUGAAUCAGGUUCAGAGAGAUGUGGAUAGACCAGGUAGAGGACAGAGAGAUGUGGAUAGACCAGGUAGAGGAGCAGUCCAUCUAGUAAUUAGAACAGAACAGAGCCAUGAAUCAGGUUCAGAGAGAUGUGGAUAGACCAGGUAGAGGACAGAGAGAUGUGGAUAGACCAGGUAGAGGAGCAGUCCAUCUAGUCAGUGGAACAGAACAGAGCCAUGAAUCAGGUUCAGAGAGAUGUGGAUAGACCAGGUAGAGGACAGAUAGAUGUGGAUAGACCAGGUAGAGGAGCAGUCCAUCUAGUCAGUGGAACAGAACAGAGCCAUGAAUCAGGUUCAGAGAGAUGUGGAUAGACCAGGUAGAGGACAGAGAGAUGUGGAUAGACCAGGUAGAGGAGCAGUCCAUCUAGUCAGUGGAACAGAACAGAGCCAUGAAUCAGGUUCAGAGAGAUGUGGAUAGACCAGGUAGAGGACAGAGAGAUGUGGAUAGACCAGGUAGAGGAGCAGUCCAUCUAGUCAGUGGAACAGAACAGAGCCAUGAAUCAGGUUCAGAGAGAUGUGGAUAGACCAGGUAGAGGACAGAGAGAUGUGGAUAGACCAGGUAGAGGAGCAGUCCAUCUAGUAAUUAGAACAGAACAGAGCCAUGAAUCAGGUUCAGAGAGAUGUGGAUAGACCAGGUAGAGGAGCAGUCCAUCUAGUCAGUGGAACAGAACAGAGCCAUGAAUCAGGUUCAGAGAGAUGUGGAUAGACCAGUUAGAGGACAUAGAGAUGUGGAUAGACCAGGUAGAGAACAGAGAGAUGUGGAUAGACCAGGUAGAGGACAGAGAGAUGUGGAUAGACCAGGUAGAGGAGCAGUCCAUCUAGUCAGUGGAACAGAACAGAGCCAUGAAUCAGGUUCAGAGAGAUGUGGAUAGACCAGGUAGAGGACAGAGAGAUGUGGAUAGACCAGGUAGAGGAGCAGUCCAUCUAGUCAGUGGAACAGAACAGAGCCAUGAAUCAGGUUCAGAGAGAUGUGGAUAGACCAGGUAGAGGACAGAGAGAUGUGGAUAGACCAGGUAGAGGAGCAGUCCAUCUAGUCAGUGGAACAGAACAGAGCCAUGAAUCAGGUUCUGAGAGAUGUGGAUAGACCAGGUAGAGGACAGAGAGAUGUGGAUAGACCAGGUAGAGGAGCAGUCCAUCUAGUCAGUGGAACAGAACAGAGCCAUGAAUCAGGUUCUGAGAGAUGUGGAUAGACCAGGUAGAGGACAGAGAGAUGUGGAUAGACCAGGUAGAGGACAGAGAGACCAGGUAGAGGACAGAGAGAUGUGGAUAGACCAGGUAGAGGAGCAGUCCAUCUAGUCAGUGGAACAGAACAGAGCCAUGAAUCAGGUUCAGAGAGAUGUGGAUAGACCAGGUAGAGGACAGAGAGAUGUGGAUAGACCAGGUAGAGGAGCAGUCCAUCUAGUCAGUGGAACAGAACAGAGCCAUGAAUCAGGUUCAGAGAGAUGUGGAUAGACCAGGUAGAGGACAGAGAGAUGUGGAUAGACCAGGUAGAGGAGCAGUCCAUCUAGUCAGUGGAACAGAACAGAGCCAUGAAUCAGGUUCUGAGAGAUGUGGAUAGACCAGGUAGAGGACAGAGAGAUGUGGAUAGACCAGGUAGAGGAGCAGUCCAUCUAGUCAGUGGAACAGAACAGAGCCAUGAAUCAGGUUCUGAGAGAUGUGGAUAGACCAGGUAGAGGACAGAGAGAUGUGGAUAGACCAGGUAGAGGACAGAGAGACCAGGUAGAGGACAGAGAGAUGUGGAUAGACCAGGUAGAGGAGCAGUCCAUCUAGUCAGUGGAACAGAACAGAGCCAUGAAUCAGGUUCAGAGAGAUGUGGAUAGACCAGGUAGAGGACAGAGAGAUGUGGAUAGACCAGGUAGAGGAGCAGUCCAUCUAGUCAGUGGAACAGAACAGAGCCAUGAAUCAGGUUCUGAGAGAUGUGGAUAGACCAGGUAGAGGACAGAGAGAUGUGGAUAGACCAGGUAGAGGAGCAGUCCAUCUAGUCAGUGGAACAGAACAGAGCCAUGAAUCAGGUUCUGAGAGAUGUGGAUAGACCAGGUAGAGGACAGAGAGAUGUGGAUAGACCAGGUAGAGGACAGAGAGACCAGGUAGAGGACAGAGAGAUGUGGAUAGACCAGGUAGAGGAGCAGUCCAUCUAGUCAGUGGAACAGAACAGAGCCAUGAAUCAGGUUCAGAGAGAUGUGGAUAGACCAGGUAGAGGACAGAGAGAUGUGGAUAGACCAGGUAGAGGAGCAGUCCAUCUAGUCAGUGGAACAGAACAGAGCCAUGAAUCAGGUUCAGAGAGAUGUGGAUAGACCAGGUAGAGGACAGAGAGAUGUGGAUAGACCAGGUAGAGGAGCAGUCCAUCUAGUCAGUGGAACAGAACAGAGCCAUGAAUCAGGUUCUGAGAGAUGUGGAUAGACCAGGUAGAGGACAGAGAGAUGUGGAUAGACCAGGUAGAGGAGCAGUCCAUCUAGUCAGUGGAACAGAACAGAGCCAUGAAUCAGGUUCUGAGAGAUGUGGAUAGACCAGGUAGAGGACAGAGAGAUGUGGAUAGACCAGGUAGAGGACAGAGAGACCAGGUAGAGGACAGAGAGAUGUGGAUAGACCAGGUAGAGGAGCAGUCCAUCUAGUCAGUGGAACAGAACAGAGCCAUGAAUCAGGUUCUGAGACGUUGGAAGAAACGACAGAAAAUAUGUUCUCAUCAAAAUAAGAAGGGAAGGUAAGAAUUGGGCGUUGAAAUAACUGUGUAUUAAAAUCUAUGUUACGAUGGGAAGUGAUGUCAUUUUACAGUCCUCAGUUAGCACUGUAGUGCAGGAGGUUGAGUUCUGAUCACGAUGUGUCUGUAUAACAUCAUAUUUUGUGUGGCCCAGUCUAUAAAGUAUA